CCCCCGGCGCGGCCCAGGAGCGGCCCCGCCCUGCCCCCGCCGCCCUCACUGCGGCGCCCCGCCCCGCUCGCCGCCCGAGAGGCGUGCCCGUCUCGCCACGCCCACCUGCUGCCCGUUUUCCUGCGCACCUCCGCGUUCCCGAGCCGCGCGCAGGCGUGCUGGGGGGCUCUCGUGGGCGCGCACGCGCGGCGCAGGGCGGGGGAGGGGAGGGGUUUUUUUCUGGGGCUCGGGGUGGGGUGUGUUCGGCUCUGAGAGCGUCUGUGGGAUUUCGGGCGGAAAUGGGGGGGUAUCAUGUCGGCUAGCUGGUGCGGAGUCUUCUUUAAGAGACCAAGUACCUUGUCCUAGGAGCUCAAGUGGUGUAGCAGUUAAAAUUUUUAAUACUUAAGUACGUACGUAUUUCUUUAAGGAACUCCAUUUUUCCUCAGGCUAGGUAGGGGUUGAAGUUACUGCAUCUCUUUGCCCUUCGCGGUGGCCGGGCUAUUAUUAGCAGCGUGACUAAACCUGGUUGAAUUUCAGAUGCAUCUCCAGAAGCUGGCUGUCUGCAGCCUGCUGGGCUGGGAUCUGCUGAAUGGAGCUUGGGAACUGGGUCACAGCGAAUGCCUCCCGAGGCCUUCCGCACAAGUUCUGGUGUGCCAAGCUGCCUCCGUGAAUUUAUUGAAUGGGAGGAUAUAAUUUUUCCCCAGCUUUAACCUGGAAUUGCAGUAAUUAGGCUUAAAAUUAGAUAACCACCAUUUAUGAGUAAGGUAAACCCUGGAGUUUUAGCAGCAUGUUGUAUUUGGUUAAGGGGGGCCUCUGUGAGAAAGGACCAGGGACUCCUGUGAGAGGCAAAGCUAGCCCCAGGCAGCAGUCAGACCUCCUGCUGGCCAAUGUGGAGCCCAUUGGCAGCAUUGAUGGUGCCUCUGUAAUAUAUUUAGAAAGAGAAAGGUAAGUGCAUAAAGGUGAGAGGGCGACCCUCCCAGGGUCACUGAAGAAGGAGGAGCUCCAGGCCUGAGGCCCAGGAGAGGCUGUGGAUGAGAAGGCUGUCUCCUGCUGCCUCCAGGCACUGCACAGGGCACAUCUCCACGUGAGUUAUGAAGGAGCCCACAGGGCAGCAGUGACUGAGGCAUAAAGGAAAUACAGUCCAUGCAGAGCCCUGCAGGAGACCCUGGGGCAGAGCUGCAGCCCGUGGGGACCCACGUUGGAGCCGUCCAUCAUGAUGUGAAAAGGACUCAUGCUGAACCAGUUUAUAAAAGAGCCACAUGCUUGAGUGGAGGAGGAGUGCAAGGAAAGGGUGGCAGAGAUAACAUGUUAUGAACUGACUUCCACUCACAGUAGCCAUCCUCCUUGCAAUGCUUAGAUCUCUCCACUACACAAAAUAUUGGUGAAUCUUGACAGCAGUCAGCUAGCUUUGAAGGUCUACUGAAAAAAAACUGCUUACUGUUGAUGAAAUGCAAAACUGGAUGAGUUUUAGCAGCCAGAUUCCUGAUUCAAGUUGUGCCUAGAGGCUGCAGCUUUCUUUGUGCAGACUGGGGAUCACAGGAGUAUAGCUUUCUGUUGAGUGCUGCAUUAAUGCUACUCAAGUUCUACAGAAGUGACUCAACAUCCCACAGGCCUGCCAGGAUGACAAGUCACUUGCAGGAUUCAGUGCUGGCUUUGUUACAGAACAGCCGCUGACGACCUUCUCAAUCCCAUCCUGGACU